GGGGUACGACGGUUGGCUCUUUCACAGAACGGGUGUUUUCCGUUCUGCGUUUGAGUCUGCCGCCUUUGGGCGUCUCCCUCUGAGAUGUCGGUUAGGAUUUCUUUUUUUUAUAUGUCCGUGUGUGUAACUGUUGCCUUUUAGCCUGUUGUGUUCCUGAGCAGCAAGAAGAGGAGGCUGUGGUGACCCGCCCGAUGCGGAAGGCUUCUGGGCCCUGUCGGCGGGGGCGCACCUCUCUGGCUGACUGGUUGACCAGGCUUUGACCAGGUGGCCGGGGAGGCGCAUCCUCGCUGGGCGGGGUCUGGGGGCCCUCCGUCUUGGGGAGGUCGCUGCAGCAGGAGGAGGUAACUACUGCUGGUUUUGUAAGGCAUUGUGGUUGAGAGCACCUUGCAGCUGUAACGCGAAUUUCGUUCCGUAAUAAACAAUGUACCGCCAUGCUGCCUGUCCUUCCUCCCUCCCAGCACUGUGUACGUCUGUGUGUGUGUGUGUGUUGCUUAAUUCUCCCUCCCAGCACUGUGUACGUCUGUGUGUGUGUGUUGCUUAAUUCUCCCUCACUGCACUGUGCGUACGUCUGUGUGUGUGUGUGUUGCUCUGUCUCUCUCUCUCAAUCUGUCUCUCUGUCUCUGUCUCUGUCUGUCUCUCUAUCUCUCAAUCUCUCUCUGUGUCUUUCUCUCUCUCUAGUUAGUAAAGAACGGGCAACGUUUGCCAUGGAAGACUCUACAGUAUACAUAAGAGUCUACAGUGUACAUCCCAACCCUCUACGGCCGUUGCUGCUCCACCCGGGCAUUACCACAUCCACCCGGGUCUACAAGAAACCUCCACGGCCGAGCCUCAACCACAGAACACACCGCUACGGUUGAUGAGGUUCCACGCCCCGGACUACCGCCAUGUUAGCCUCCAUAAUAGUCCUCGGCGCACUUGUUCUGAGACGUCCUGACUGGAGAGCUACACAACACUGGUCAUCCGCUGAGUGGUUGAAUUCCUGGUCUACCGGCCCCUGGAGGAGUGGUCGAUUGCCUGGUCUACUGUGGAUAUGAGUGGUUGAUUCCCUGGUCUACCCCUGGAUGACGCAGCUGUUCCUAUGCAGGGGAAGACUCACACAAGCGAUAAGCACCUGUCGGACCUGGAGACUCCCCCCUGAGCCUGACGGUGGAGCUGUGGGCCCUGCACCAGACCCCCACACCCCCCCACACCACCCACAGCAGGGGCAGGGCGUUGAGACUCCCCCCACAGGCUAAGACAGGGAGGGACUUGAAGAUCCAGGUUUUUGUCAUCUGCACAGGAAUUGACACAUGGUAUUUGGGAGCAGCGAGUAGCGGGCUUUUUUAAUAUAGUUUCCUUUUUUGUGUGUGCCCUUGAGCUGUCUCCUUUGUUGUAGAAAAUAAAUACUUGACAAGGCUUUCAUAGGUAUUUGGGGCAUUUCCAGAGGUAGUUUAAUGACCCUGGUGGUAGUCUGACCCUUCCUCUGCACAAUGAACUUGAAAAAAACGCUCAUAAAAACACAGAUAUUAACCUAGUAGCAGCGGGGAUCAUGUUUCUUAAUGGUCCCUCCAAGCGAGAAAAAUGAGAAAAAAUCACCCCUCACACAAACCAUUUCAUAUAUAUCAAAGCAUUUGCGAUCAGAUUAUGUAUCAUCUAUUUUUGGGGGUUUAUAUCAUGGCACAAAUUUGGCCUGUCGCUGCUACACGGUAAAGCCACAAAUUUGGCCCAUCGCUGCUACCAGGUUAACCUCAUUAUCGUGUUAAAAUCCCUGUAUCUCACUGUUAUCUUCCUCUCCCUCUAUAUUAUUUGUCAAUCUCUCUGUCUCUCACAGAUGUCUAAGGUUUCACCCAUGCAGCUGAAGGGUGCCAAUGCCUACACAUGCGUCGACCACAGGUGUGCGCUGGACAUUGCCUACAAUUCAUGGUGCAAAUGGCAGCGUCGGCGGAGAUCGAGCUGGCUGAAGGUUGGCGGCCGGGUCAAGCUCGCCUCGGACAAGGAGUUCUGUGAGAUGUUCUCGGCGGAUGUUGUUGACCUCGGCCACAUCAAUGUUACUAAGGUGGUGGAGGUGGGGAACGGCAUCUACAUUGACGACGGACUCAAGGAGAUCGCUGAGACUACUACUACUACUACUAUUACUAUUACUAUCCUCUAUACUGAUAUAUGUACUAUUAAAUCCUCUAUACAGCUACUAUGUGUACUAUUGAAUCCCUUAUAUAGUACUUCCAUGACAGCUGAUACUUCUACUACUACUACUAUGACCACUCAAUCCCUGGUAAGUACAAUGUCAUUAUCAUCAUUAUUUAGGUUAAGGUCCAUUUAAUUCAAUCUUCCUGAGCGGUUGGACGCUUUAUGGCUCUCCUCCAUUCUACUCUGUCUUCCGCCCAAUGCUUAUACGGUCCUAUCAAUCCCAAGUCUUCCUGUACACACCUUCUCCAUGUUUUCCUAGGUCUACCAACUGGUCUCCUUCCUUCUACCUCCAUUCUGCUCUGUCUUCUGCCCGAUGCUCAUCCAAUCCCAUCAGUGCCAAGUCUUCCUGUACACCUUCUCCAUGUUUUCCUAGGUCUACCAACUGGUCUCCUUCCUUCUACCUCCAAUCUCUCCAACACUCCCAGCACUGUGUCCUCCCCUGCUCUCUUUACAUGUCCAAACCAUCGGAGUCUUUCCCUUCUGAGCACUGUUUCCAGGUCCUCUACUAAAACUCCCAGCACUGUAUCCUCCCCUGCUCUCUUUACAUGUCCAAACCAUCAGAGUCUUUCCCUUCUGAGCACUGUUUCCAGGUCCUCUACUAAAACUCCCAGCACUGUGUCCUCCCCUGCUCUCUUUACAUGUCCAAACCAUCGGAGUCUUUCCCUUCUGAGCACUGUUUCCAGGUCCUCUACUAAAACUCCCAGCACUGUAUCCUCCCCUGCUCUCUUUACAUGUCCAAACCAUCGGAGUCUUUCCCUUCUGAGCACUGUUUCCAGGUCCUCUACUAAAACUCCCAGCACUGUGUCCUCCCCUGCUCUCUUUACAUGUCCAAACCAUCGGAGUCUUUCCCUUCUGAGCACUGUUUCCAGGUCCUCUACUAAAACUCCCAGCACUGUGUCCUCCCCUGCUCUCUUUACAUGUCUCUGCCAAAUAUUUCCCUCUCCCUGCCUCUGUCCCUGCCAAA